rnacentral:rRNA from 1 species
GUGCCAGCCGCCGCGGUAAUACGGAGGGUGCAAGCGUUAAUCGGAAUUACUGGGCGUAAAGCGCGCGUAGGUGGCUUGAUAAGCCGGUUGUGAAAGCCCCGGGCUCAACCUGGGAACGGCAUCCGGAACUGUCAGGCUAGAGUGCAGGAGAGGAAGGUAGAAUUCCCGGUGUAGCGGUGAAAUGCGUAGAGAUCGGGAGGAAUACCAGUGGCGAAGGCGGCCUUCUGGACUGACACUGACACUGAGGUGCGAAAGCGUGGGUAGCAAACAGGAUUAGAAACCCUAGUAGUCC